GCCACAUGGCACUUCAAUACCACUCUCUCAAUCCUUUUGAGCGCCAUUCCAUUCUCUUCACACGCGUGUAUACUUUUCCUCUACUUUGUAAACCCUAAUUACUAUACAACCGUUUCAAAAUCAUCUAUUCAUCUUCUCUCCAAUUUCUUCCAUUUUCUCAUCAGUUUUCCUUUUCCCUUUCCAAAACCCUAAAUUCAACCAUGGCCGCAUACCUCUUUCCACCAUAACAAUCUUCGAUCUGAAUAUUUAUAUCCAUUAUUCUGGCCGUUCACUCCAUUUCGCAAUGAAUCAAGACUUGAUCACCACAAAGAAUUGCAUCAACAAUCAUCAAGAAUCAACAUAAUCCAUGUUAAUCAUCGAUUCUUGCUUCCAAUUUCUUAUUAUAGAGGAUCUACCAUAUAAUUUCAAGGUUGUGGUUAGUUGUGGAUGAUGGAUGCGGCGAUGGUGAUUAAGGUUCUUUCCCUUUGAUUCAAUAUAACAGAUAAAAAGUUUAACUACUGAAAAUAAACUAAUGCAGGAUGGGGAAUGUAAGCAAUAGUAAGUACCUUAAAAUGGUUAAACUGGACUACAAUAACUGUGUAAGCAUGCAUCAGCUCCAAUGGAACACUAAUCAGCAAUACAGACAAAGGAGAAGACGGUUUCUAUGUUCAACAGAAGCUGACAACAAAGAGAAUAGAAUUCGGUAACAGAGUUGUCCACUGGUAACAGUUCGGAUGGAAUUACAAAUGGUUGUUCAUGGAUAGGAAAUAUGGUGGUUAUGGUAGUUGUCCAGGGAGAUGACCGCCAGUGAAAGGAGAUGACACCAGAACUGUGACAUGUCUGAGCUAAAGCAUGGCGGCUUGGCUUGGUGAUGUUUUGAAACUAACGAUAUUGGUCACGAUGGUUGUUCGAGAGGUGGUGGUGGCAUCAGCGGCAAAGAAGGUGAGGUUUGUGAUGUCAGCUGGCGGGGGCAUUGGAGGCUCCGGCAACGACUGGUGAUGGUGGCGUUGACAACAAUUAGCAGCUGAUGUAUGUGGUGAUGAAGGUGAACAUCGAAGACUGAGAUGCGAGAACGACGAUCGAUAAGUGGUGGUAACUUUUUAUUUAGUUAUAUUUUGUUUGUCUUGAACUAAGAAUGAUCCAGUUAGCUAAAAUGAAUUAUGUUAGGAUUAUUGUUUGUGAGAUCCUUAAGAGGUUUCCGUGUGUCGUGGUAUGUAACUUGGAAUGUUUUAGCAAGAUGCUAGGAACAGGCUAGGAACCCAGUGGUUGCUUCACCAGUUGUGCCGAAUCAUACAAGCUUAUCAUCUCAGUCAGUCAAAUGCUGGAGGUUAUUAAAUUUCUGGUUUCGCUGCACAUAUUUAAUUUCUUUAUAUAACAAGAGUUUUUCAUGUUUUGUCAAUAAAAUGAUGAAAUAGGAAAAUUUUAAAGCAGUUCGACUCUCAGGUUUCUUUUUUUUUUCUUUUUUUUUUUCAUUCGACCGAUUUUUUUUCAAUUAAUUAGUUAUAACCUUUCUAAGUAACUAGAAAUUUGGAUCAUUAUUUGUUGUUUGAUGUUGCUGGUACACGCUAUUGGGUUCGUAUCGGGUAACAUGUGCAUUUUUGGAAGAAGCCGAUUAGAGCUACAUACAGGUGGAAAAAGUUGAUCACAAAUUUAUGAGGUGAAGUAACCUGACUCGAAAUCAAGUGAUUCUAAAUUCUCUGCUUGCAGUGAAAUAGUAGAGUGUUGUUGGCAGAUGAUCUAACUCUUGCUACAAUGAAAAUCGAACUGGAUCAGUGAUCUUAGUCAACCAGAGAAAGCCAAAUAUAGGUAACUGGGCAAUCUGGUUUGCUUCAGCUUUCGAGUCGAAGAAUACGAGGAUCUAGAAGCUUUGUAGGAGCGACAUAUAGAUCUAUAUUGAGUCCCAACAUUGUUCGGAGUGUGAAACAGCGGCUUCAGGUUACUUGAUCUACUCCAGCUCCUUUUGUAUGCAAAAGAAAUGGCUGGUGUGUGAAUAUUAACUCCCAAAAAAAUUUCUGUUUUAAUUGGUGAUAACCAAUAAGUACUCAAAUAAUAUGCUUGACCUGUUGGUUGGUGGGAUAAUUGGGGCACCUGUCCUUUCACUUGGCCCAAAGGCCUGUUUGUACAGGAAAAAAAAGUUUUUAAAGUCAAAAAGUUUAUUCUAACAUGUGAGUUAAAUAGACUAUAGGGAAACAAAGACUGAAUACCGAGCCGAACUAAAGAAACUGUCUGAGAAACUGAUGGAAGUAAUGGAUGAAAACUUGGGGAUACCAAAGGGACACAUUAAAAAGAUGUUCAAUGGUGGUGAUGAACUAAUAUCUUAAUUAGCAAUUUGCAGCUUAUGGUUAAGUUCUUGAACGCCAGCGGAGAACCUGUUACCUGGAAACGAGUAUCAUCAUUGUAUGAGAUUCUUCAAGUAGUCGACAUUUUAUGAUGUUCUAGAUAAGUCUACAUUCGAAGCUGGUGGUUAUGUUCUGUUAAUGAGGUGCAUUAUCUGGACUGACAUCACUUGCUAAUCAAGUUUGGGAGUGUUGAUGGAGUAGUAAUGUAUCAUGAGUGCUAAAAGGAGGAGGCUCAACAAUAUAAGCUUGUGAAAAAUAUGGAUGAAAAUAAAUGGGAUUUAUUUUUUAAGUUUUGGUAGUAUGAUUUGGUUGUGAAAUGUCAAAACUACCCCUUAAGAAUAAAAAGAAGAAAAAAAUGGGGAUAAUAAACUAAAAUGGUUAGCAUUUAACUCAGAGUUAGAGAGUUGCAUUUGUUAUUGACUUAUUAUGACUUUUUGGCACUUAAAUACAAACUUUGUACAAGGACAGACUUAUGAAAGGUUCAAUAUCCUCAAAUCUUAAAUGGUUCUCAUUAGGCCACUUCACUUGCCCCACCACAAUGAAAGAGCUUUGGUAAGUGGUGAUUUCCAUCAUAAUCUGAUGGUUUGAAGCAAACUGCUGAAAUGGAUUUCAACAUUUAGACCUUCUGAUAAAAAAGAAUUAAUUUUAAAAGGUAUGGGUGUUUACGGUUCGGUUUUAAUGGUUUUUAGGUCAAACCGUUAAUAACAGUUUUUUAUUAUUGAAAACUGAAGAAGACCAAUAAUGGAGUUGUAGUGUUUAUUUUAUUUGAAUAAAGUUAGAUGAUCCGAACAAAAAAAAAUCGAUUCCCAUUCAUUUGGACCCCGUGUGAAAUUAUGUGUUUAUGGUAUGGUAUAUUUUUUUUGUUGGUAAUGUUUGCCAAACAUGAAUGAUUAUUCACUUAUAAGAAAUCAUAAAAAAAUUUCUUUUGUAAAUAUAAAUUUUUUUUAACACAAACCAUAACCCGUGAAGCUCACGGGUAUAUAAAAUGACCGAAUUGCCUUUUUAUUUAUAUAUAAUUUUUAUUUCAAUAUCAUUAUACGUUUAUAUUGAAAAAUUCUUUCAUUAGAAAGUUCAUCUCAAUGC